UAUUAGCAGGAGGUUGGAGAGAGGCGUGGCUAUAUGUGACAAGGUGGGGUCUGACAGAAUCAGCCCUCAGCUGUAGGAGGGUCACAGUGUCUAAAGAAGCUAGGGAAGGAAGCAUUGAGCAGGUCACUGGAGAGAGUACUUAUUCUGCAGUGACAAUAAACCAUGUCAAUUGUUCCCAAUCUCCUGUAAUGCCACUGCUGUUAUUAAUAUUAAUUACAGUUUGGAAAUCUG